CGCCGCGCGCGCGUCUCCGCCACGCACCCGCAGCACCCAACACCCACCCACCCCCCCCGCCGCCAUCUUAGUCAUGGAAUCAAAGCAUAGUCUGGGUUGGGAAGGACCUUUAAAGUUCCAACCCACCAGCUGGGGUUGCUCCAAGCUCCAUCCAACCUGGCCUUGAACACUUCAGGGACUUCAGCCACAGCUUCCCUAGUCAGUGUCUCACCACCCCCACAGGAAAGAAUUUCUUCCUAAUACCUAAAUCAGUUUGAAACCAUUGCCUCUCAUCACCAUGCCCCUGUAAAAAAUCCCUACUCAGCUUUCACAAAACACUUUGAGGUACUGGAACGUGCUCCAAGAGCCUUUUCUGGGCUGAACAACCUUGUGGCUUCCUCUGGACUCCUCCAACACUCAACAAAAGUGUUUUGCGGGUGCACAGUAAUUAACCAAAAGGUCCUGAAGUAUGAAGAAACCAUGCUGAAAGCUUAUUUUCAUGGAUGGACAUGAGACUCUCAUGGCUCCUCUACCCCUAACUACCACCAUUAAUGGCACAGCCCUUCUGUGCCUCUGGCAUCCACCCCCUUCUCCACCUGGAGAGCUGUGUGUGACAAUGGGUCCAGAGCAAAAUGAAGCCAAAGUGUUAUUUUUGUUAAAACUUCCCAAGCCAAAUGCCAUAGCAGCUUUAGCUGUUUGACCAAACUCAUCCUGAACACCAUUCUGUGGAGCUGCAGGUGGAUGGGGCCCAGCUGGUGCCACACACAGAUCACUUGCUUUAAACACCAGAGAAACAGAAAA